UACAGAGGUCUCAAGCGUUGUUCGGAUUCCAUUGGGCGUAAAGGGUGUGUAGGUGGCGCGCUAAGUCGGGUGUGAAAUUUCGGAGCUUAACUCCGAAACUGCAUUCGAUACUGGCGUGGCUUGAGGACUGGAGAGGAGACUGGAAUUCAUGGUGUAGCAGUGAAAUGCGUAGAGAUCAUGGAGGAAGACCAGUGGCGAAGGCGGGUCUCUGGACAGUUCCUGACACUGAGACACGAAGGCCAGGGGAGCAAACGGG
rnacentral:rRNA from 1 species